UCUCACUCCAUUUCCCGACAUGGUCCGCGAUUCACGAAGCGGCUCCACGCUCAGCGCCGCGCCUCAUCGACACGUGGGCCAGUACUCUAUACUGCAUCUCCAGUCUCCUUUACUGUGUACACGAGAUUUCUCAAGCAAAUGGACCCCUUCCCCGCUACUAUGGUCCCAGAUCUGACGUUCUCUGAUCCUUUGGGGCCUUCGACAUCCCAGGCCGUUACGGCAGGGGCCCCCUGCCCUACUCAGCAAACCUUAAGUGGCGAGAAGCCGGAUCACGCAGCAACUGCAACACGGAAGAGGGCUCAGGCGGCGUCGUGCGAGGACAACAGCGCAGUGGUGUGAGGACGCAGCCGGCCUGGGCCAGGACGAAACCCGCCCGUUUCGCCUCCCCCUCCUCGGGCGGCUCUGAUGUGGACGGCGACCACACUUCCCAGAGGCCCCCUGCCGGCAAAGCGGCGGGUGGCACAGCGUCGCAGCCUCCACCCCUUUCGGCCGACGAUUGGGCCCAUCGCGCAGGCUCGGGGGCCCUCUCAUGUCACAAGCCUUCUGGGCAUGGGGACCACGAGGCCGACCCUGCCGCGGCUGCCACAGCCGCCCUGCCCCCCACCUUCACCGACCGUCGCCCACGGGACAGGGCCAGGGGGCAUAAGUCGAGGCGACGUGCGAGCUCCUCCAGUCUGUCCUCCUUCCUUCCCAGUUCGGUAGCGUAGUUGCUCUGCCACCCUGAGGUUUCCCUCGCGGCCAGCGGGCACUCGCCCUUCGGGGAAGGGGGGGGGGGUGUCCGGCCUGCGGGAUGGGGGUGCAGCGCCCCUCCCCAACUGUUCCGCUGUCCGCAGCUACUACUUUGACUUUACAGCCAUUCUACUAGUAAGCCCUAACUUAAGUCAGGAAAUUCUUUCUCCUUAUUCCUUGGCGGCUCGGCCUCUGGCCUGGGGUUAUUUUCUUCUCCAAAUUCAUAUCAGGCUUUCCCAGUCUCGAUGUAAUUUUCUGCCGCCUGAUUAUUUUCCAGCUAGGGUUUCCAUUAUGUUAUGGUGUCCUGACUGUUAUACUUAGAUUUAGAUUUGUUGCAUUCGCCUCACUGCUAAUUCUAGACAAUAGGCCAUUAGGUUUCUGCAGAGUUUGUUACUAGGCUACAAGAUUACUUUUAUUUUACUACGGGUGUACAAUUUAAGUUGUUUCAUGUACUUUGAGUUAGCCACGGCUAUGUUAUACAUUUGUUAAGACCUACUUAGAAGCCUGUUUUACUUCUGCAGAAUUAUUUAUCCUGUACUAAUAAAUUUACACCCCCAUGUGUUGGCGUCUUCCUUCCCCUGAUCAGAAAUUCAACGUCAUUUCGCCGCACACUUUACAUGCAUUCUAGGUACUAGUAAGCUCUACCGUUAGUCCGGGAAUUCUUAUUUCUCCUUACUCCUUGGCGGCACGGCCUCAUGGCCUGGGUUAAUUUUUCCUCCAAAUUAACAUAGGCAUUUCCCAGUCUUUAUGUAAAAUCCGCACGCACUGGUUAAUUUCCAUAUUAACUCAACUAGGGUUUAGCAUUAUGUCUUAUCUGGUCUAGUCUUGGCCAGGCUUCCUUAUUAAAUGUCACGUUGUUUAUUCUCAUUAUAUUUACUUGAAAUGUCCUGAUUGUCUAUUUCAGUUAUGUUAUGUUGACUUAUAAUUUUACUCCUAGACAAUAAGCUUAUUUGGUGUUCUGCAGGUUUUGAUUUAUCUUGUUAUUUGGCUAUAACCAUAUUUUAUUAAUGUUACUACGGGUGUUCAUAUUAAAUUGGUUCAGCUGUACUUAAAGUUAUCCACGUCUAUGUUACAGCAUUUGUCACGUACUCACUUAUAGCCGCCUUAUUUACAUGUUCUGCAGAAAUUGAUUUACUUGUAUUCUGCUACUUAAUAAAUAAGUCCCCAUA
rnacentral:lncRNA from 1 species